rnacentral:rRNA from 1 species
AUUAAACGCUGGCGGCAUGCCUUACACAUGCAAGUCGAACGGCAGCACGGGUGCUUGCACCUGGUGGCGAGUGGCGAACGGGUGAGUAAUACAUCGGAACGUACCUUAUCGUGGGGGAUAACGCAGCGAAAGCUGUGCUAAUACCGCAUACGCCCUGAGGGGGAAAGCGGGGGAUCGCAAGACCUCGCGCGAUUAGAGCGGCCGAUGCCUGAUUAGCUUGUUGGUGGGGUAAAAGCCCACCAAGGCGACGAUCAGUAGCUGGUCUGAGAGGACGAUCAGCCACACUGGGACUGAGACACGGCCCAGGCUCCUACGGGAGGCAGCAGUGGGGAAUUUUGGACAAUGGGGGCAACCCUGAUCCAGCAAUGCCGCGUGAGUGAAGAAGGCCUUCGGGUUGUAAAGCUCUUUUGUCAGGGAAGAAACACCGGCUCUAACACAGUCCGGGAAUGACGGUACCUGAAGAAUAAGCACCGGCUAACUACGUGCCAGCAGCCGCCGCGG